rnacentral:rRNA from 1 species
GACGAACGCUGGCGGCGUGCUUAACACAUGCAAGUCGAACGGAAAGGCCCUGCUUUUGUGCGGUGCUCGAGUGGCGAACGGGUGUGUAACACGUGAGUAUCCUCCCCUGGACUUUGUGAUAACUUCAAAAAACUGCGGCUAAUACCUGAGAGGAUCUCCUGCUGCAUUGUGGGGGUUGGAAAGUUUCGGCGGUUGGGGAUGGACUCGCGGCUUAUCAGCUUGUUGGUGGGGUAGUGGCUUACCAAGGCUUUGACGGGUAGCCGGCCUGAGAGGGUGACCGGCCACAUUGGGACUGAGAUACGGCACAGACUACUACGGGAGGCAGCAGUGGGGAAUAGUGCACAAUGGGCGGAAGCCUGAUGCAGCAACGCCGCGUGCGGGAUGACGGCCUUCGGGUUGUAAACCGCUGUCGCCUGUGACGAAGCGUGAGUGACGGUAAUCGGUAAAGAAGCACCGGCUAACUACGUA